rnacentral:lncRNA from 1 species
UCCCAAUUUAGCCUAACAUUAUAUUUACAUCUGUUUCAGUAUAUGAAUGCUUAGUUAAUGUGUGGUAACUAGUAGGCUACUAGUGUUAAGCAAGUUAACAACUGUUAAGCAAGUUAACAUUCAGCCAUUUGAAAUCCAUGAACUCAGUUAGAUUUUCGUACUUGAACUCAAAACGAACAAUCAUGUUACUCAAAAGAUGACCACAAUUUGCAGAUAGCCUGUUUGCUAUCGUAAAGGUGUAAGAAAUUAUAGCUAACUAAGUUACUUACUGCAGAGUAGGGCUAGCCAUGAUCUAACUAGUACCUAAGGCUGGUAGUUGAUUUUAAGGUACAGUUAUGAUAAUGGGGAUUUGUACUUGAGAUUGGACAAACAUUUGGGUAAUUGGAUGCUUAGAUGUAACCAUAGACUGUCUUAUUUUUGCAUAGGGUCAAUUACACAUGAAAAGAAAGGGAGAUAUCAGACUUCUUUUUAAAGAAGCACAAACAGGCAGAUCAGGUGCAAACAGACCCCAGCCCUUGCAUCACCACUGGACCCCAGAGCAGCUCCCUACAUGAGGCUCGUCAGAGUCAGUGUGGUCAGACUUCACAAGGACCCAGUCUACCACCACCAGAUGUAUCAAGGGAUGACACAGAGACCUCUGACUCUGAGCAAGACAGUGAGCCAGAGCUGCCAGGAGGUGUCAUCGAGCUCCUCCCAACUGCAUCAAGCACCAGAUAUGCUGUUCCAGAAGGACCCAAUGACAUUUCAAGAUCCAGAGAAGAGGGUCCUGUACAGCCGUGUUUGAAAACAUUUCCCAGAACUGAGUAUGGUAUUAGGAAAAGGGCUUUCAACAGCUCCCGGUAUGAGAACAAUUCAUGGCUUGAAUAUUCUGUAAGCCAAGAUUCAACUUAUUGUUUUUCCUGUAGGCAUUUUUCUCUGCCCAAUACACCUGAAUCUGCCUGCACAUCACAGUCAAGGUUUUGUAACUGGAAAAAGGCAUUGUUUAAAGAUUCUGGGUUUAAGCUCCAUUCGAAGGCAGAGCAUCAUAACAAUGCUAUGUAUGCUUGGAUUCAGCAUAAA